CAAAGCGAAAGCGAGUAUGAAAAUGCGUUAGUCACAAGGGUAAGACCUGAAGCCAGAUGAUCUACUCCUGAUCAGGCUGAAGUUUUUCGAAAGAGAAAUGGAGGGCCGUACAAGUAUUGCGUGCAUGCAUUUUGAUGACUUGGGAGUAGGGGUGAAAAGCCUCUCGAAUCUGGCGAUGGCUGGUUCCUGCUGAAAUAUGCCUUGGUAUAGUUUGGUUUAGUUUGUUUAUGGGGUAAAGUCACAGAUGAAUUUCGCAGAGGCUACUGCCUACGGAAAUUCUUCUAACUCAGAACCUAUAAACUGCGUAAAACCAAAAGCAGCUGCAGCGUGUAAGAUGCUGUAACGAAACCGGAAAAACGGAGCCUUGAGUUAAGGUCCCAAAAUAUUUACUAAGUGUAACAAAGGGAGUCAUUAUUCGAAGACAGUUGGGAUGUAGACAUAGAAGCCGUCAUCAUUUAAAGAAAGCGUAACAGCUCACAAGUCGACUCUACGUUGUUCUACAACGGUUUGGCGAAAGCCGAACUUGCGUAGGCAACCUCUAGGCUUCUUCGCGCGGAAAAUUCAACGGGGCUCAAACCAGGUACCGAAGAUUAGGAUUCGCGAGUUACACCAAGAUAAAUUGAAAAUGAAUAUGCUCGGGCGGAGGAAAAGAUGGAUUUCAAGAUCGUGGUCAGAAUACGUGAUAGCUCUAGUAGUCUGCGAUUUCAUACGAAGUUUCAGGCUGACAGUCCUGCUGAAGUCGAAGAAGUCGUCGAUAGAUUCGUAUCAGCUGGGAAAAGGUUAGGUCUGGAUAUUCUGGACUGCAGCCUUGAGCCCGUCGUAGCCCAAGAGCACGAACCUGUUUAGGAGGCAGGCCGAGCUAUGUCGUUUCCUAAGCUCUACAUGGGUAGAGCUUCGCCCGAGCAUAUUCAUUAAAAUUAAUUUGUUUUCGUGUAACUCGCGAGUGGUAGGCGAGCGUUCGUAUCGGGGUGAAGCAGGAGCGUAAGCAACUGUGGACUGAUACGAAGUGCGAAUGUUGGCAUGAGUAACGAAAUGGAAGUGAGAACCUUCCACGCCGCAAGUCCGAGGUUUCCACAGCAACGACGAUCGUCUGUGGGUUAGUCGGAUCUAAGUGGAUAAAACCACGAUGUUCAGACGGUUAAUAUUCCGUCACUACCGCGUAACUACCCUGCGAUGACACGGGCCCGUGGUUAAAAAUAAUUAUUGGAUUUUAUUUUUAGCUCAAAGCCUGGCAAGAAAAGUCGCAGAUUAACUAUGCGUGGUAUCCGUACCGCAAACCGACACAGGUGGACGAGGCGAGUAGCCUCAGGUGGUCGAGUGAACCCUCGUUAAGGAACUCGGCAAAAUAGUGUCCGUAAGUUCGCAAUAUGGACUGCCCAUCGCAAGAUGGGUUGCAACAAAUGACUCUCAAGCGACUGUUUAACAAAAACUUAGCUCUCUGCUAACCCUUCGGGGAUGUAUAGGGGGUGAUGCCUGCCCAGUGCUCGUAGGUUACGGGGAGGGCUGACCCGUCCAGCACUUUGUUCGUUCAGAAACGUUUUGCUAAGAAAUUGGCGAUUCGUGCUCUAGCGACCAUAGUGCUGGAUGGCAAGGCUCGAACUUAAGCCCGAGUGAACGGCAGCGGUAACUAUAACCGUUCUAUGGUGGGAAGAAAGCCGCCAUAGUGGAGUAUUCAAACUCCCAUCCGAACUGUGCGUGCGCACAGAUGUAGGAGUGAAAAUCUGGCUAUAUGCUGGAACGUCUGAGUAUCUAGCGGUACUAUGGUUGUAAUGACACAUAGUGACAAUUCGUCUAGUGCAGAUAAUCAGCAGGAAAGAUUAGCCUUCUGGAUUGUUGGUUUCGUUGACGGAGAAGGAACCUUCUCGGUCAGUCUGAACCGCAAUUCGACAACAACAACUGGAUACCAAGUGUUUCCGGAAUUCGUAGUGACACAAGGCGCAAAAAGCCUGUCAGCGCUACAAGAGAUUCAACAGUAUUUCGGCUGCGGAAAGAUUUACGAGAAUCGCCGCUACGACAAUCACCGAGAAUCGAUGUAUCGCUACGUUGUUCGAUCGUUUAACGAUUUAACGACAAUAGUCAUUCCGUUCUUCCAAAGAUUUCCGCUCAGAACCGCUAAGCAAAAUGAUUUUCAAAAGUUUUGCGAGGUAAUCGAGCUGAUGAAAGAAAGAAAACACAUUAAUUCAGAUGGAGUUGGGACGAUUCGAUUGAUAAUCAAUCAAAUGAAUCGUCGAGCUAAAAUCCUCAGACACUAAUACGCCAGACGCAAAGCAAUAAGUGCUUUGUAAAGAUAGAGUGCGCUCUUCGUAGCGAUAUGAAGUAAGUAUUGGAGUGAUCCUCUACAGCAACAACAUUCGAAGCGAAAUUCCUCGACAAGGGGACCUCUCGCUGAAAAGCGAGGUGGCAAACUUGGCCAAAUGCUGGAACAACUCAGUAUCCGACAGUACCGCAAGGUAAAAAUCUGUUCGGUGGAGUCAAUCAGCAGGAAAGGCCGUAUGUCGUAUGUGGCAUACGGAAUCCUCAACGACUAUACGCCAAGGGCCGUAAGGAAAUAAUUUCCUCGGUCAUGAUAUAGUCUGAGCUCGGCAGCGAUGUCGAGAGUCCGUGAAAUAAUCGGACGCUUCAAAAGAAAGAAGUUAACAAAUCUGUGUCGCAUAAGUAGCGACCCGCACGAAUGGCAUAACGACUUGAGAACUGUCUCAACGAGGGACUCGGUGAAAUUACACUGCCGGUGAAGAUGCCGGUUACUUGCAGCAAGACGGAAAGACCCCGUGGAGCUUUACUACAGUUUGAUAUUGAGCCAGAGCUUGGCAUGUGUAGCGUAGGUGGGAGAGUUUACUCGCCAAUGAAACACCACCCUUGUUUUGUUUUGGUUCUAACUGGAUUUGAAAAAUAGUCUAAGACAGUGUCAGAUAGGUAGUUUGACUGGGGCGGUCGCCUCCUAAAGAGUAACGGAGGCGUGCAAAGGUUGGCUAGCUACGGAUGGAAAUCGUAGCGAUAGUGUAAACGCAUAAGCCAGCUUGACUGUAAGGCCUACAAGCCGAACAGGUGCGAAAGCAGGCGUUAGUGAUCCAGCCGGUUUCAGAACGAAACGGCCGGCGCUCAACGGAUAAAAGCUACCCCGGGGAUAACAGGCUGAUUGCGCCCAAUCGUCCACAGAGACGGCGCAGUUUGGCACCUCGAUGUCGGCU
rnacentral:rRNA from 1 species